ensembl:lncRNA
CCCUCCCUCUCUCCCCACAGGGUUCUUCCCUCUCUCUCCCUGAGACAAAUGUUUUGCAAUUGCAUUAUCUUUGCUAUGAUAAUUACCCUCUGAGAGUCUGAUGUAGGUCAAGAGCCGGAUAGCCAGAGGAGAUCAUCUUUUUUUUUGCUGAAGUUUCUGAACCUUUCAAGAAAGCCUACUCUCCUACCUGGGAUCACGUCAGACCUUCAAUAUGAUGCUUUCACAGCCAUCUCCCAGCGUCUGUGACCUCCGCCUUCUCUGUUAUCUGAAUUAAUCCGGGACCACAGGGAGCCAGGCAAAGUCCUCCAAGCAGUGGCAUGCCACAGCUGGCUCCAGCUGUGUACGAAAGAUUUUGUGAGCUGUUUGAGAUCACAGAGGUACCCUGAAAUUGCCUUGAUGGGGCUGUUUACAGCAUGAAAAUCAACAAAUACUGCAAAUCCAACUUCUAGUAUCUCUCUGAACUGAGUGCGAAGCAUUCAUCGGCACACUAUAAUCCAUCAUUGCAUACCUGUGGCUUUUUUCUUAUGACACUGACUUAUUAAAGAGAACAGAUCAGUUGCUCUGUAGAAUGUGUUGCUUUCUACAUGUGUCUGACUGUGAUAGCCCACAUAUUUCCUAUAUACUGGAGGUUAUAUCAAAAGGCUAAAUAGAUUCAAGUUAAACAUUCCUGGCUUUUAAUUGUUUUAGAUAUAUAAUGUGAUUUUCCAAAAGACACAUAAUAUUUGGUUGACUCACCACUAAUGAUACUAACAUUGGCCUCUAGAUUAAAUUUAGUAAGAGCAAUUCAGUCCCUCCAUUGUAGAGUUAUGUUUUUC